ensembl:lncRNA
GAAGGUGGAGAGAGGGAGACAGGAGGGAGGGGGGAGUGGGGAGGGAGAGAGGAGGAGGAGAAGGAGAGUUUCCCACUCACGGGUUUUUCGGCCACCCCACACUGGGUGAGCUGGGAAGAUAGGGCAGCGAUGAGUCACAAGGACAGGGUUCUGGUUUAUAAAGCGCCUUCUCUACCUUAUUUCAGAUCCACAAAACAGGAUGGGGGGUUUCUCAGCGGUGCAGGUGUCACCAGCCCCGUUCUACAGACAAGGAAACCGAGGCUCAGAGAGGAGGACCUUGCCCAAGCCUUGAUAAUGAUGAAGGUUUAUGUUUUCCAUAAGAAGUCCUGCGGUGGAGGAACUUCUGAGCAGGCUGGUUCGGCAGCUCAGUGGUGGCGUCCGGACCAGGGUCUCUCCCUGUAUGUCCUCUGUCACCCUCAGUACGGAUCACUCCCCUCAUGCCCCAAAAUGGCUGCAGCAGAUCCAGUCAUCACAUCCCACCAGGACAAACUGCAGCCCAAGAUGAGCCAGCCAUAUCUUCCUCGUGUUUCUCUCUUUUUCAAGAGCAAACCAAGAUUCCCCAUAACCCCCCACUGGAGCCCCUUUCACACCUCACUGGUUUCAGUUGGGUCACACGCGAGGGGCACAGGACAGCCAUUGACUGUCUCAGACCAAGGGUCAGCAAAUCUGGUCCCAAGUCCGCCUGUGUAAAUAAAGAUUUAUUGGUACGCAGCCACACCAUUUUUUUUUAACGUUUAUUUAUUUUUAAGAGAAAGAGAGACAGAGCGUGAGCGGGGGAGGGGCGGAGAAAGAGGGAGACGCGGAAUCCGAAGCAGGUUCCGGGCUCCGAGCUGUCGGCACAGAGCCCGACGCGGGGCUCGAACCCACGAACCGCGAGAUCGUGGCCAGAAGUGAACUCAGAGGCUUAACUGACUGAGCCACCCAGGCGCCCACACACCCAUUUUUUUCACAUAUGACUGAGUUCGCGCUACAACGACAGAGCUGAGCGGUUGCAUCUGGUCCGCGAAGCCCGGAAGAUUCACUGUCUGACUCCACGGAAAAUCAGUUUGCUGACUCCUGGCUACAUUAAUUGGGAUUCACCCCUGUGCUGGGCUGAGUCACUGUCCCUGAGGGAUGAACACUGAACAAAACAAUAGUCUGUGAGUGAGACAGAAGUGGAUGGCGGCCGGGUCACCGUUAAGUCGGCCUCAAGUACUUUGCUACUCGAUGCACGGUCCCUAGACCAGCGGCGGGGAGCCAGGCUCAAACCCCACCGCCGCGCUCCUGAACCAGAGCUCGCACUUGACAAGGUCCCCAGGACUCUGUGACAAGCCCUCGCCCUGCAGACAGGGGAAGGUGUGGCCGAGCUCAAGCCCUGACGGUGACCUUGACCAGCUGUGUGGCUGUGGCAGGUCAUGGCCCCCCUCGAGGCCCUUGGUGCCCUCACCUGCUGGACGUCGUGUGUUCACAUCCUCGGGCUGAGUUAACAACCCCUCCCCCACCCCACCCCCACCCCCACCCCACCAAGCUGGGUGGCUUAGAGCCCAGUUCGGGAGGUCCGAAGUCUAAAGUCAAGGUGUGGGCAAGGCCAUGCUCCCUCCGAGGCUGCAGGGGAGGGUCCUUCCUUACCUCUUCCAGACUGGGGUGGCCCCAGGUGGCCCCUUCUUUAUUUUUUAAGUUUAUUUAUCUUGAGAGAGAGACAGAGAGGGUG